GGCAUUCAAGUUAAGUAAUUUUUUGUUUUUAUAUUUGUUGGCUUUUAUUGAAUAUAAUUAUUUUAUUUUCAAGUUGAUUCCCUGGGUGUUGUGUUGGGAUGUCUUCUGGUUGCUUGCUUAGUUGCUGACGUUUUAAAUUUUGUUUUAUUUUCUGGUUUGCUGCAGAUUUGGUAAGUGUUCUGAAUUGUAUUUUGGCUGAAUUUAAUUUUAUUUUAUUUGCAGGUUUAUAUUUUGUAGGUUUGGUGGUAAAUUGUCGGCAUUCAAUUGAUUCCCUGGAUGUUGUGUUGGGAUGUCUUCUGGUUGCUUGCUUAGUUGCUGACGUUUUAAAUUUUGUUUUAUUUUCAGGUUUGCUGCAGAUUUGGUUUAUAUUUUAUAGGUUUGGUGGUAAAUUGUCGGCAUUCA